rnacentral:rRNA from 1 species
UACGUAGGGGGCUAGCGUUGUCCGGAAUCAUUGGGCGUAAAGCGCGUGUAGGCGGCCCGGUAAGUCCGCUGUGAAAGUCGGGGCUCAACCCUCGGAUGCCGGUGGAUACUGUCGGGCUCGAGUACGGAAGAGGCGAGUGGAAUUCCUGGUGUAGCGGUGAAAUGCGCAGAGUAUCAGGAGGAACACCGGUGGCGAAGGCGGAUCUCUGGGCCUGAUCUGACGCUGAGGCGCGAAGCUAGG